CCUACGGGGGGCACCAGUGGGGAAUAUUGCACAAUGGGCGCAAGCCUGAUGCAGCCAUGCCGCGUGUAUGAAGAAGGCCUUCGGGUUGUAAAGUACUUUCGGCGAGGAGGAAGGCAUUAAGGUUAAUAACCUUAGUGAUUGACGUUACUCGCAGAAGAAGCACCGGCUAACUCCGUGCCAGCAGCCGCGGUAAUACGGAGGGUGCAAGCGUUAAUCGGAAUUACUGGGCGUAAAGCGCACGCAGGCGGUCUGUCAAGUCGGAUGUGAAAUCCCCGGGCUCAACCUGGGAACUGCAUUCGAAACUGGCAGGCCAGAGUCUUGUAGAGGGGGGUAGAAUUCCAGGUGUAGCGGUGAAAUGCGUAGAGAUCUGGAGGAAUACCGGUGGCGAAGGCAGCCCCCUGGACAAAGACUGACGCUCAGGUGCGAAAGCGUGGGGAGCAAACAGGAUUAGAUACCCCUGUAGUC
rnacentral:rRNA from 1 species